rnacentral:lncRNA from 1 species
ACCUUACCCACACCUUACCCCUAAUCCUAACCCCCACACUAACCCUAAUACUAACCUUACCCCACACCUUCCCCUAAUCCUAACUCCCACACUAAUCCUUAUACUAACCUUACCCACACCUUACCCCUAAUCCUAACCCCCACGCUAACCCUAAUACUAACCUUACCCCACACCUUCCCCUAAUCCUAACUCCCACACUAACCCUUAUACUAACCUUACCCACACCUUACCCCUAAUCCUAACCCCAACACUAACCCUUAUACUAACCUUACCCACACCUUACCCCUAAUCCUAACCCCCACUCUAACCCUAAUACCAACCUUACCCCACACCUUACCCCUAAUCCUAACCCCCACACUAACCCUAAUACUAACGCAAGCUCUUAUUUCAAUUUUGGAAGCAUCUCGUAACUACCUCUCGUCCAUCCCUUUUAGACAUUACCGUUCAUGUCUUACAAA